GGUUUGGUGGCACAGUGGUUAAGUGCUCUGCUGCUAACCUAGAGGUCGUGGGUUCAAACCCACCAGCCA
rnacentral:tRNA from 1 species